GAUGAACGCUGACAGAAUGCUUAACACAUGCAAGUCAACUUGAAUUUGGGUUUUUAACUUAGGUUUGGGUGGCGGACGGGUGAGUAACGCGUAAAGAACUUGCCUCACAGCUAGGGACAACAGUUGGAAACGAAUGCUAAUACCUAAUAUUAUGAUAAUAGGGCAUCCUAUAAUUAUGAAAGCUAUAAGCGCUGUGAGAGAGCUUUGCGUCACAUUAGCUAGUUGGAGAGGUAACGGCUCACCAAGGCGAUGAUGGGUAGCCGGCCUGAGAGGGUGAUCGGCCACAAGGGGACUGGGACACGGCCCUUACUCAUACGGGAGGAAGCAGUGGGGACUAUUGGACAAUGGACCGAGAGUCUGAUGCAGCAAUUCUGUGUGCACGAUGAAGUUUUUCGGAAUGUAAAGUGGUUUCAGUUGGGAAGAAACAAAUGACGGUACCAACAGAAGAAGUGACGGCUAAAUACGUG
rnacentral:rRNA from 1 species